rnacentral:tRNA from 1 species
GGGGCUGUAGCUCAGUGGCAGAGCACUUGCCUAGCAUGUGUGAGGCACUGGGUUCAAUUCUCAGCACCA